rnacentral:rRNA from 1 species
AGUGAACGCUGGCGGUAGGCCUAACACAUGCAAGUCGAACGGCAGCACAGUAAGAGCUUGCUCUUACGGGUGGCGAGUGGCGGACGGGUGAGGAAUACAUCGGCAUCUUCUUUUUCGUGGGGGAUAACGUAGGGAAACUUACGCUAAUACCGCAUACGACCUACGUGUGAAAGCAGGGGAUCUUCGGACCUUGCGCGAUUGAAUGAGCCGAUGUCGGAUUAGCUAGUUGGCGGGGUAAAGGCCCACCAAGGCGACGAUACGUAGCUGGUCUGAGAGGAUGGUAAGCUCCACUAGAACUGAGACACGGUCCAGACCACAAUGGGAGGCAGCAGUGGGGAAUAUUAGACAAUGGGCGCAAGCCAGAUCCAGCCCUGCCGAGUGGGUGAAGAAGGCACUCGGGUAGUAAAGGUCUUCUGUUUGGAAAGAAAAGUAGAGGGUUAAUCCCCCGCUGUUUUGACGGUACCGAAUGAAUAAGCACCGGCUAACUCCGUG